rnacentral:tRNA from 1 species
AAAUAAGAAACAAAUUAUUGUAUUUAGUUUCGACCUAAAAUUCUGGUGACCCACACCCUUAUUUA